rnacentral:rRNA from 1 species
UUCCGGUUGAUCCUGCCGGACCUGACUGCUAUCGGAUUGAUACUAAGCCAUGCGAGUCUUUGCAGUAAUGCAAGGCAUACGGCUCAGUAACACGUAGUCAACUUACCCUAUGGACGAGGAUAAUCUCGGGAAACUGAGCAUAAUACUCGAUAGAUCAUAAUGCCUGGAAUGGUUUAUGGUUGAAACGAUUCGUCGCCAUAGGAUGGGACUGCGGCCUAUCAGCUUGUUGGUGAGGUAAUGGCCCACCAAGGCGAUUACAGGUACGGGCUCUGAGAGGAGAAGCCCGGAGAUGGGUACUGAGACAAGGACCCAGGCCCUAUGGGGCGCAGCAGGCGAGAAAACUUUGCAAUGUGCGAAAGCACGACAAGGUUAAUCCGAGUGAUUUCUGCUAAAGAAAUCUUUUGCAAGUCAUAAAACCACUAGUGAAUAAGGGGUGGGCAAGUUCUGGUGUCAGCCGCCGCGGUAAAACCAGCACCUCAAGUGGUCAGGAGGAUUAUUGGGCCUAAAGCAUCCGUAGCCGGCUCUGUAAGUUUUCGGUUAAAUCCAUGUGCUCAACGCAUGGGCUGCCGAAAAUACUGCAUAGCUAGGGAGUGGGAGAGGUAGACGGUACUCAGUAGGAAGGGGUAAAAUCCUUUGAUCUAUUGAUGACCACCUGUGGCGAAGGCGGUCUACCAGAACACGUUCGACGGUGAGGGAUGAAAGCUGGGGGAGCAAACCGGAUUAGAUACCCGGGUAGUCCCAGCUGUAAACGAUGCAGACUCGAUGAUGCAUUGGCAUAUAGCCAGUGCAGUGUCGCAGGGAAGCCGUUAAGUCUGCCGCCUGGGAAGUACGUACGCAAGUAUGAAACUUAAAGGAAUUGGCGGGGGAGCACCACAAGGGGUGAAGCCUGCGGUUCAAUUGGAUUCAACGCCGGG